rnacentral:rRNA from 1 species
UGCAACCUGAGCUCAGUCGUGACUACCCGCUGAACUUAAGCAUAUCAC